GAUGAACGCUGGCGGCGUGCCUAAUACAUGCAAGUCGAGCGAACAGAUGAGGAGCUUGCUCCUCUGACGUUAGCGGCGGACGGGUGAGUAACACGUGGAUAACCUACCUAUAAGACUGGGAUAACUUCGGGAAACCGGAGCUAAUACCGGAUAAUAUAUUGAACCGCAUGGUUCAAUAGUGAAAGACGGUUUUGCUGUCACUUAUAGAUGGAUCCGCGCCGCAUUAGCUAGUUGGUAAGGUAACGGCUUACCAAGGCAACGAUGCGUAGCCGACCUGAGAGGGGGGUGGGCCACAGUGGAACGGAGACGCGGGCCGGACUCAAACGGGAGGCAGCAGAAGGGAUUCUUCGGAAAUGGCGGAAGGCUUGACGGAGCAACGCGGCGGGGGAAAUAAAGGUUUUGGAACCGUAAAAAUCUGUUAUUGGGGAAGAACAAGUGUGCAAGUAACAAUACCCGUCUGGAGGGUACCUAAUCAGAAAGCCACGGCUAACUACGUG
rnacentral:rRNA from 1 species